rnacentral:lncRNA from 1 species
GUGACCCUGCAAUUAAAACCCCCGCGCUGCAGCAUCGCGGAAAACGGGAUUCGCAUAAUUUGAAAUUUGAGGAAAAUCUCUAAAUACUUUAAUUUUGAUAGAAACUAUUUCCACUGCUGACAUGUGUCUACACCUAUAAUUUCAGUUGAUAAAUUGCUGUAAUUUCUCCUCCAUUUCAUGUUCUUUCGAACAUUAAUUGUCAGUUGCAGGGAAGGAACUUCUAAACUGAAAGCUGGCAAGACUCAGCAGAAAAAAAAUAUCAAAAGCUGCUUCUGCUGCCCCAGCUUCACUCAGGCCCUGGCUGCUCCUUCACGGGUCUACACUGCUACCUCCUGGAACCACCCACUCUGCAACCAGGUCUGAUGCCCGGUGUGGACAUUCAGGGAUGGGGUCCCCUGAGGCUAAAUGAAUGAACAGAUUCUGAAAAGCAGAAGCUACGUCCGGGGGUCUCUGGGCCACAAAUCACUUUCUGACCUGCAGCCGUGAGGGGUGAGGCUCGCUCGGAAGCUCCCAGAACCUGGAGGCUGCCCUCACUCAACACUUGAACAAGCAAGGGGCCAGAUUCAAUGAAACACCUGCCCGCCCGGCACACCAGGCUCAAAAGCAAGCAAGCAAGCAAACAAACAAACAAAAUCAAAUCAGGCCUUCACAACUCCCCAAAUCAUGUGUGAGUUUCUACAGAGCAGAAGCCAAAAAUAUAUGUUAUCUAACUAGGUCCUAUUUACAUAUAUUUUUAUGGCUGCUUUAAAAAAUUAUCACAAACAUAGCGGCUUCACCCCGUUUCCCCUGUUGUGAUUAUUACAGAUUGGAUGCCUGUAUCAAAAUAUCUCAUGGACCCCAUAAAUAGCAACACCCUGUAUGUACUCAUGACAAUUUUUUAAAAAAGAACACUUACACUUUC